GAUGAACGCUGGCGGCGUGCCUAAUACAUGCAAGUCGAGCGAACGGAUGAGAAGCUCGCUUCUCUGAUGUUAGCGGCGGACGGGUGAGUAACACGUGGAUAACCUACCUAUAAGACUGGGAUAACUUCGGGAAACCGGAGCUAAUACCGGAUAAUAUUUUGAACCGCAUGGUUCAAAAGUGAAAGACGGUCUUGCUGUCACUUAUAGAUGGAUCCGCGCUGCAUUAGCUAGUUGGUAAGGUAACGGCUUACCAAGGCAACGAUGCAUAGCCGACCUGAGAGGGUGAUCGGCCACACUGGAACUGAGACACGGUCCAGACUCCUACGGGAGGCAGCAGUAGGGAAUCUUCCGCAAUGGGCGAAAGCCUGACGGAGCAACGCCGCGUGAGUGAUGAAGGUCUUCGGAUCGUAAAACUCUGUUAUUAGGGAAGAACAUAUGUGUAAGUAACUGUGCACAUCUUGACGGUACCUAAUCAGAAAGCCACGGCUAACUACGUGCCAGCAGCCGCGGUAAUACGUAGGUGGCAAGCGUUAUCCGGAAUUAUUGGGCGUAAAGCGCGCGUAGGCGGUUUUUUAAGUCUGAUGUGAAAGCCCACGGCUCAACCGUGGAGGGUCAUUGGAAACUGGAAAACUUGAGUGCAGAAGAGGAAAGUGGAAUUCCAUGUGUAGCGGUGAAAUGCGCAGAGAUAUGGAGGAACACCAGUGGCGAAGGCGACUUUCUGGUCCGUAACUGACGCUGAUGUGCGAAAGCGUGGGGAUCAAACAGGAUUAGAUACCCUGGUAGUCCACGCCGUAAACGAUGAGUGCUAAGUGUUAGGGGGUUUCCGCCCCUUAGUGCUGCAGCUAACGCAUUAAGCACUCCGCCUGGGGAGUA
rnacentral:rRNA from 1 species